ACGAACGCUGGCGGCGUGCUUAACACAUGCAAGUCGAACGGAAAGGCCCCUUUGGGGGUACUCGAGUGGCGAACGGGUGAGUAACACGUGAGUAACCUGCCCUUGACUUCGGGAUAACUUCAGGAAACUGGGGCUAAUACCGGAUAGGAAUCCUUGCUGCAUGGUGGGGGUUGGAAAGCUUCGGCGGUUUUGGAUGGACUCGCGGCUUAUCAGCUUGUUGGUGGGGUAGUGGCUUACCAAGGCUUUGACGGGUAGCCGGCCUGAGAGGGCGACCGGCCACAUUGGGACUGAGAUACGGCCCAGACUCCUACGGGAGGCAGCAGUGGGGAAUAUUGCACAAUGGGCGGAAGCCUGAUGCAGCAACGCCGCGUGCGGGAUGACGGCCUUCGGGUUGUAAACCGCUUUCAGCAGGGGCGAAGCUUGUGGUGACGGUACCUGCAGUAGAAGCACCGGCUAACUACGUG
rnacentral:rRNA from 1 species